CAGGGCUGAGCCAGCCAGCAUUCUCAACUUAACCUGUGCCUGAUCCGAAGCAUGGACGUUAUUUUCUGUCAAGGGAAGCUAUAUGUCUGAAGAGGCAAAACAAUGGACUGGGGGCCUCAAGACUUCACUUGCAGUUGCAGGAAGCUGAGAGGAGACUGACCUGCAGCUCAGGUGGCUGAUAUUUGCAUGUAAUGCUUGAAACAGAAGACUGAGUCCCACUUGAGCGUGCUUCUCCUUGAGUCCUGUCCAAGACACGAAAGGAACAAAAGUGGCAUUGAGGUAAGAAUCUAGGUCACAUCAAACCCGUUUCUCUGCUGAUUGGAAAAGAACAUGAAUCCAGACUGGGCUGUGUGGAAAGUGAAUCCUAUACAACUUUGAAAGGAAAUGAAACUGUACAUCCUGAGAUGGAAAGAUGUCCAAACCAUAUUAAAUGAAAAAGCAUGUUAUAAAGCAGUAUGAUGACUGUAGGGACAAAUGGUGAUUAGUAACAUAAAUGAUGACAAUAUGUCAGUAUAUAUAAAAGAGCUAGAGAAAUGUCCAUCCAACAAUAGAUAAUG